UUAACUCAUAUUUGUAUGGAAUGGGAUCGUUUGCGUACGUUUGCCGCUAGGGGCGCUGUUCCAACUGCAUACAAAAUUGGGCUA
rnacentral:pre_miRNA from 1 species